rnacentral:tRNA from 1 species
UAUUUAUAUAGUAUAAAGAUUAUUUUUAACUUCCAAUUAAAAGAUUUAAUAAAAUUAAUAUAAAUAA